rnacentral:hammerhead_ribozyme from 1 species
ACCCAGUUGGCGAGUUCGGAAUAGGACGAAACGCGCGUCCCGGAU